rnacentral:rRNA from 1 species
UGCCAGCCGCCGCGGUAAUACGGAGGAUCCAAGCGUUAUCCGGAUUUAUUGGGUUUAAAGGGUCCGUAGGCGGGUCUUUAAGUCAGUGGUGAAAGCCUGCAGCUUAACUGUAGAAUUGCCAUUGAUACUGAAGGCCUUGAGUGUAGUAGAAGUAGGCGGAAUAUGGCAUGUAGCGGUGAAAUGCAUAGAUAUGCCAUAGAACACCGGUGGCGAAAGCGCUCUACUGGACCAUUACUGACACUCAGAGGCGAAAGCUAGGGUAGCAAAAGGGAUUAGAUA